UCUCGAUAGCGUAAAAGUUAACUUAAAUUUGUAUGGAGUUGGAACGUUUGCCUACGUUUGCCGCUAGGGGCGCUGUUCCAACUGCAUACAAAUUUGAGUUACUUUUACUCUAUCGA
rnacentral:pre_miRNA from 9 species